rnacentral:pre_miRNA from 1 species
AGCUAUAACUAAUCUUUUUGAUGAGAUGUUCUGUCCUAAUCUACAGCUGGGCAGACCAUCUGAUCAGAGAGAUUAGUUACGGC